UUUUGUUCUUUUUCUGUAUCGAAUCAGAAUAUUAUACCCAUAUUUUAAAUCCUUUAUUUCUUGUUUAAUUCCUCUGAAUUCUACAUUUUUCUCUUGAUUUUUCAGUUUUAAGAGCAGUGAAGUUCCAUUGAAGGAAAAAGAAAAAGUAAGUUGAAAGGUUUCUUUGAGCAAUGGAAGGAUCAGUUUUCACUCCAUCACUGGAAGGAAUGAAGCAUAUCAAAUCUCCAGAAGGGGAAAUGCUUGCUAAGCCCUUUUUGGAAGUCUGCAAGAUGAUUUUGCCAGUUAUAGAUAAGUUUGGAUCUGCUAUGGCUCUUGUAAAGAGUGAUGUCAGUGGUAACAUAUCGAGGUUGGAGAAGAAAUAUGAAUCUGAUCCCACUAAAUACAAAUACUUGUACAAUAUGGUGAAAGAAGAGGUUGAGUGUAAAACCGCAACAGGUUCAUCUAGCUGUACCAAUGGUCUUCUUUGGUUGACAUACAUAACAUUACCUGGCAAUUGCAGAAAUCUCUUUCAUAUGUUCCCUUCAGUUUAGCGAUUUGUAAUUUUACAAUUUUGAUGAUUUUCAGAGCUAUGGAUUUCCUCGUAGAACUGUUCCGCAACUUGCUUUCACAUCCAGAUUGGACUAUGACAGAAUGUUGCACCAACUCCUAUGGCAAAACCCUGAAGAAGUUUCAUGGCUGGAUUGCUAGUUCCAGUUUCACGAUUGCAAUGAAGCUGGCUCCGGAUAGGAAGAAGUUCAUGGAAGUGAUAGCUGGUUCAGGAGAUGUUAACGCUGACAUGGAGAAGUUUUGUUCGACUUUCCCUCAAUUUCUUGAGGAGAACCACAAAUUUCUGGCGAAUUUCGGUUUGGAUGAUCUGAAGGCUAGAUGAUGGAGUAAGUUCAAUGAGUAGAGGAGAGAUGGCUUUUAGUUGACUCGUAUGUUUGAAUUUCCACUAUAUGGCCCUUGGCUUAUAAACCGUGAAAUAAUUAAUGACUUUAAACAGUGUUAAUUAUCCUUAUUUUGACUCCCUUUCAAUGAAAGUGCUCAUUUAGUUA